rnacentral:misc_RNA from 1 species
UUGAUCCUUUUGUAUUGAUUCAGACACAAACUAUUCUGCAUAAAUGCGGCGCCGGAGCGCCGAAGCACAUUUUGCUUCCACAGGUUUGAAGGUUGAAGGCCUCAUUGGCCAUUCAGUAAUGAUCCCUCCGCAGGUUCACCUACGGAGA